AGUCGAGCGAGCUACUUCGGUAGCGAGCGGCGCACGGGUGAGUAACGCGUAGAUGAUCUACCCUUGAGACGGAGAUACCUCCGGGAAACUGGAGUUAAUACCCGAUAACGCACAUCUGUUGGCUCAGAUGUGUUAAAAAGCGGUGCAAGUCGCGCUUGAGGAUGAGUCUGCGGCCUAUCAGCUAGUUGGUGGGGUAACGGCCUACCAAGGCGAAGACGGGUAGCUGAUCUGAGAGGAUGAUCAGCCACAUUGGGACUGAGACACGGCCCAAACUCCUACGGGAGGCAGCAGUAGGGAAUAUUGCGCAAUGGGGGGAACCCUGACGCAGCGACGCCGCGUGAGUGAUGACGGCCUUUUUGGUUGUAAAGCUCUGUAAAGAGGGAAAAAUGUUCAUGUGAAGAGCAUGAAUUGAUGGUACCUCUAAAGUAAGGACCGGCUAAAUACGUGCCAGCAGCCGCGGUAAUACGUAUGGUCCUAGCGUUGUCCGGAAUGACUGGGCGUAAAGGGUGUGUAGGCGGAUGUAUAUGUCAGAUGUGAAAUACCUCGGCUUAACUGAGGCAUUGCGUUUGAAACUGUACAUCUUGAGCAUGUCAGGGGUAAGCGGAAUUCCCGGAGUAGCGGUGAAAUGCGUAGAUAUCGGGAAGAACACCGGUGGCGAAGGCGGCUUACUGGGGCAUAGCUGACGCUGAGGCACGAAAGCGUGGGGAGCGAACGGGAUUAGAUACCCCGGUAGUCCACGCCGUAAACGAUGGAUACUAGAUGUCAGUUGCAUAAUAGCAGUUGGUAUCGAAGCCAACGCGAUAAGUAUCCCGCCUGGGGAGUACGGUCGCAAGAUUAAAACUCAAAGGAAUUGACGGGGGCCCGCACAAGCGGUGGAGUAUGUGGUUUAAUUCGAUGCAACGCGCAAAACCUUACCCGGACUUGACAUCCCGUUGAAUGGACCUAGAGAUAGGACCAGGCUCUUCGGAGACAGCGGAGACAGGUGCUGCAUGGCUGUCGUCAGCUCGUGUUGUGAGAUGUUGGGUUAAGUCCCGCAACGAGCGCAACCCUUGUGUUUAGUUGCCAGCAUUCAGUUGGGCACUCUAAACAGACUGCCGAGGUUAACUCGGAGGAAGGUGGGGAUGACGUCAAGUCCUCAUGGCCCUUAUGUCCGGGGCCACACACGUACUACAAUGGUAUAGACAGAGGGAAGCUAAACCGCGAGGUGGAGCGAAUCCCAGAAACUAUAUCCCAGUUCGGAUUGGGGUCUGCAACUCGACCCCAUGAAGUUGGAAUCGCUAGUAAUCGCGGAUCAGCAUGCCGCGGUGAAUACGUUCCCGGGCCUUGUACACACCGCCCGUCACACCAUGGGAGUUGUUCUCACUGGAUGA
rnacentral:rRNA from 1 species